AACGAACGCUGGCGGCAGGCCUAACACAUGCAAGUCGAACGCCGUAGCAAUACGGAGUGGCAGACGGGUGAGUAACACGUGGGAACAUACCCUUCGGUUCGGAAUAACUCAGGGAAACUUGAGCUAAUACCGGAUACGUCCGCGAGGAGAAAGAUUCAUCGCCGGAGGAUUGGCCCGCGUCUGAUUAGCUUGUUGGUGAGGUAACGGCUCACCAAGGCGACGAUCAGUAGCGGUCUGAGAGGAUGAUCAGCCACAUUGGGACUGAGACACGGCCCAAACUCCUACGGGAGGCAGCAGGUGGGGAAUAUUGGACAAUGGGCGCAAGCCUGAUCCAGCCAUGCCGCGUGAGUGAUGAAGG
rnacentral:rRNA from 1 species